AAUGAACGCUGGCGGCGUGCUUAACACAUGCAAGUCGCACGAGAACGUUCCAGCUUGCUGGAGCAAGUAAAGUGGCGCACGGGUGAGUAACGCGUGGGUAAUCUACCCUUGAAUUUGGGAUAACUCUUCGAAAGGGGAGCUAAUACCGGAUGACAUCACAUUUUUUUCGAGGAGUGUGAUCAAAGAUGGCCUCUCCAUGGAAGCUAUUGUUUGAGGAUGAGCCCGCGUACCAUUAGCUAGUUGGUAGGGUAAAGGCCUACCAAGGCGACGAUGGUUAGCUGGUCUGAGAGGAUGACCAGUCACACUGGAACUGACACACGGUCCAGACUCCUACGGGAGGCAGCAGUGAGGAAUUUUGCGCAAUGGGGGAAACCCUGACGCAGCAACGCCGCGUGAGUGAUGAAGGCCUUCGGGUCGUAAAGCUCUGU
rnacentral:rRNA from 1 species